rnacentral:lncRNA from 1 species
CCUUUUUGCCCCAGCCAGUAGGUCUCUAGACGUUACAGAGAACCUCGAACAAUCCAAACUGCUAAUCUUUGAUACCGCUUUAUACUCACGAUCUUGUAUCCACUGACUGUCUUGUUAGAUUAACCCAAUAAAUUUCAUUCACUCUGCAUACUCAAUCCUAUAGACACCCUUUUAAUUCUUCAUCAAAGACGUAACUCAAUUUCACAAAAUAGUCAAGAGUAAUCACACCCACUUCAUUAAAAUCCUGAUUCACCAGUACAACACUGACUUCAGCAA